CUGAGCUGCAACACUACUGAUCCACAGGCAGGACGAGCAGGAAGAACAGACUGACAGAAGGAGAGGGAGAGGACAGAAACAGACUGAUGAGUUAAACUCCACCUGCACCUGCCAGCUAACUGGAGCAGCCAGCUGUGAACAGAGUGAAAAACACUGAGCUGUUGUGAAGGACUGUGAAAUAAAGAGAGAACAGGAGCCGAGACGAGAUGACAACAUGCACCGUCUUCUAUGAACAGAGAAAUAUUCAUUUAUUAUAUUAAUCUACAUUUAUUUACAUAUAAGUUAUUAUCAGUAUUCAUAUACAGUGAAAUGCUUCUUGUGUUGUUUAUUAAUUGUCUUUGUGUUUUAGAGAAAGGAGAGGACGCGAGGAAGACAAAAGUUAAGACCAGACCAGGGACCAGCAAAGGAGACGGCAUGCACUGUGAACCGUCCCCUUUCCAAAGGGAGGAGACGAAACAGGAUGCACUGUCAGCCCUCUCCUAAAAAAGACAAAGAGAGAGGAGAACAACAGAGACACAGUGGACUGUCGUCUUCUGUCAUCCUUAAAGAGUUCUUUAAAUCAGCAAUGAACAUGUCCUUCUAAUAAGUUUUGUCUUUGUCUUUAUAUGUGUACCCAACCUGCUGUCUUUAAUAAACUGGUAUUCACAUGAAGUUACAGUGUUUAUAUUGAUACUUAUCUGUUCUGUCAAACCAAUAAUAAUCAGGAUCUGACUUGGGGGUAACAGAUUACAUGUAGUUAUGUAUUUAGGAUAUAAAAAAGUAACUGUAAUCAAUUACUGG